rnacentral:rRNA from 1 species
GAUGAACGCUGGCGGCGUGCCUAAUACAUGCAAGUCGAGCGAACGGACGAGAAGCUUGCUUCUCUGAUGUUAGCGGCGGACGGGUGAGUAACACGUGGAUAACCUACCUAUAAGACUGGGAUAACUUCGGGAAACCGGAGCUAAUACCUGAUAAUAUUUUGAACCGCAUGGUUCAAAAGUGAAAGACGGUCUUGCUGUCACUUAUAGAUGGAUCCGCGCUGCAUUAGCUAGUUGGUAAGGUAACGGCUUACCAAGGCAACGAUGCAUAGCCGACCUGAGAGGGUGAUCGGCCACACUGGAACUGAGGCACGGUCCAGACUCCUACGGGAGGCAGCAGUAGGGAAUCUUCCGCAAUGGGCGAAAGCCUGACGGAGCAACGCCGCGUGAGUGAUGAAGGUCUUCGGAUCGUAAAACUCUGUUAUUAGUGAAGAACAUAUGUGUAAGUAACUGUGCACAUCUUGACGGUACCUAAUCAGAAAGCCACGGCUAACUACGUG